AUACGUUUUAUGCUCCGAAGCUGGCGGCCUAAUGUUUUACGAUGGUUGUCCAGACAGUGUGAAAGCACCGGGUAUGACUGGAAACGGCCAUGCCUCCCAUUUGGAAAGGAGUCUGUAGGGAAUGCGG
rnacentral:ncRNA from 2 species